GAUGAAGAAGGGACAGCAUUUGAAGGACUGAGUCUUCCAGGCCACUCACUUGUGGACGGUGGGAGAGGGUCGCCUUGACCCAGGGCUUCCUGGACUGUCUGCUCCUCUGAACCUGGACACCCACUGUGAGUCUCAGGAUCCCCCAGUGAGGACCAGACAGAACUGAGAAGAGAGAAGGCAGGGCGGGCGGAGGCUAGAGGCCCAGAGGAGGGAGGGGAAGGAGGACUCCAUGGGAGGUCUCCUCCGAGGGCUCCAUCCCCGGCAGGAAAGAGGCAGGAGGCGCACACCGUCACUCCUCCACGCACGCAGAGGCUCUCACCAACUCUGCAAACCUGCUCUAGGAAUUGAGGAAGCAAAGACCAGUGAGACUUGGUCCCCUCUGUAAGAGCAGCAUGAGGUGUCGGGGAAGCCACGACACAGGGGCACACACACACACACACACACACACUCAACCCCAUUUUUAUACAAAGGGGUGCCUGUGGCAGGUGCUAAAUGUGAGAUGUGAAUCGUGUCUAAAUGGAUCCCAGGGAUGGACGCCCAGCAGGGGGUGGGGCUGCCAGGCAAGGUGUGCCAAGGAAAGUCGUGUUUUGACCUGAAAGAGGGAGCAAGCUUUUGCCUAAGGUCAAGCUGAGGUGAGAACACGGGGAGGGAGAGUACCCCGAGCGGAAGUCCACACGGUAACAAGGCCGCCGAACCCCGAAAGACUGACGGUCGAGGGGGAUGUGAGAGGGGCUGCUGGGAGAGGGUGGCAGCAGGCAUGGCCUCCCGGGGUCUGGAGUUUAGGAGUUUCUGAUCUCAGGACAUGAGCCCGUGGAUGCCCAGGCGGGGAGGGGCGCCGACAACCACAUCUCAGUCAAGUGGCACUCGUCCUCCGCCACAGUCAAAGGGAAUGCCGGGCCUUUGUUCUUUUAGUCAAUUUUGGUCCUAAAUUUCACUGUGUGGAGCGAACACCAUGCCCUCUGACUUUCUAAAAUGGCAAGAUAAAUGCUUAAGAAAGGCAGGAGAAAACCAGGCCUUCUGUUUUUUCACCGACCUUGACCUUAAGACUGAAAAGGAAGUCUCCCUUCGCAUCUCUGCGCCACGCAGGUGCCGGUCCCUCGUGUUACCAGGUCCCCUGUGCUGCUGGGUUGCCUUAGGGCGGGAGGCAGCACUGCACACCACCUCUGAGACAUUCGACUGGCCCCUAGGGAUCCGGGAUCAAAGGACUCCGAGUCCCAAGCAGAGUCUCCAGUUCCUGGGAGUGAACAGCUCUGGCUGGGAAAGAGGAAGGCAGCAUGGGGGCUCAGCCUGCAGAUAGCUCUAGGGUCAGUAGACGCCAGGAACCCUGGAAACCACUACUGCAUUAUAAAGCCUCCUGCAGGAUGUGCCCAUGAGAUGUCCUGUGUAGGGAAAGUGGACAAACCUCACCAGGCUUCUCAAGUGCAGAUUACUCCAGUGGAUAAAUGUGGAUUACCGUGUCUCCAAGAGUUCUUAGUAAAGCCUGCCCUGAGCAUGUAACGUGUUCAAGUCAGUGUGAGCGCGAGGAUCAACGUCCACAUGUGUGGCUUGGUUACUGUUCCUAGUCUCCAGUGCUCCAGCCCCAAACACCUGAACAGCUGGACCUUUAUCCACUUUAACCUUGAACAGCAGGACCAGCUUCCAGCCCCGACUAUUCCCAAACCACCUUGCACAAGCACCCUGCCCAGCUGACGUGCUGCCUGGGGGUCCUGACACCAGCUAUUCCUCCAUCCCCAUUCUUUUCUACAAAGAGGAUGAGCAUCAGCUGCAGGGUAAUGUCCAUGAGGGUGGGUGAGACUCGAGAGGGAAGAGGCUAAAGCAAAUGCCCCAGAUUCUAUUCUAUAGCACUGUUCUGAGUCCUCAGGGUGUCACAUCGCCCAGCAGAGCUGGGCAUGCAAAAACAAACCGGCCUCCAGGGACUUUUCCGUUUACAGGACUGAACUAAAGUUGCCAGGGAAACAAAGCCCAGGUUCCCCAUUAAGUUAACUUUCAGCUCCUUGUCACACCUCUCGCAGCCCGGACAAACAUGAUAAAGGAAGAGAACUGCCAUUCUGUGUUAAAAUCUCUUGGAGCACAUACUUCCCAGGUAAAAAUCAUCCACAGGAGAGAGCUGGGCAAAUCUCAAUGGGAAAGUGACGCAGCGCCACCCAGAUUCGAGUGUGCAGUGGGGGGGACGCACAGAAGGAGCACAAUGUGUGUUUCUCACUGGAACUGCACGGCCCACACUCAGGACCUGCUCCCGUCUCUUUUCCAGCUGUCACCGCUGCAAGCUGCAAGUGUAGACCUUGUGUGUAGUUCUCGGUAGGAGCCAACAACAGGAGAAGGAGGCUUGGAGUCAGGAUGGUGCGUGGAGCAAGAAAACACGGCAGCCCCGGCCUGUCAGGGAGGGAGCCAAGACUUGAAUGAAACAGAUAAAGAAAUAGGUUAGGUUACUGGCAGAGUCAAACCAGUGUCCAGGAUGAUAUGGAGAAAGGGUCCGGAUCCCACGCGGCCAAGGCUGCCUCUGGGCAAGCUAGGGCUUCUCCUCCCUUUACAGAGUGUGUGCAAGCCAAGCAGAGCCUGGUGAGGAGCUGGAUCCCAGGGAGCUCUCUGACUGCUCAGCUGGACCACGGGUUAGUAUGGGACACUGCACCAGCUGCCACCCUCAUCCUAACUCAUCCUCUAUCCCAAAGGCCCACAAAGUGGUCCAUGUUUUCCAAAGCUCAGCAGAAGAUCUCCAGAUCCGCAGAGAGAUUUGAGCCAUUUUGUACAUUCUCAAAGCCUGGUUACCAUUCUCUUCAGAUCUCUUACCACUGAAAGCUGCGUCUUUCUGUAUGUCCUCUAUUGACAGCAAGAUCCCCCGGGUAGAGGUGCCUUGGUUUCUGCUCAGCAUCGUGCUCAGUUCCCACAGAGCCCAGUGCAGAGCAGGUGCUCAGCCCCCAUUUGUCAACAAGUAAAUGAAUGCGUCCUGAACAUGCAUGACCAGAAGGCAAUGGGUCACGUCCUGCAGGGCCACGGGAGCCCACAGAACCAAGCCUGUUUGGCUCUUCCUAGGCAGGUUCCCGUUUCCGUACAGUGUAGCUCAGGGCGGGUGGACAUUCGGAUCACAGUAAGUCCACACUGAGCCUCCUCUUCACAUCCAAUGGUGGGGUCUGGCUUUCCUCCCACAACCACGGGAGGUUUCAGAAUGAUUGUCAGAAUGACUUCAUAGGGUUUCUGGUCAGCCAAGAAUCACUUGUGUUUCCCAAGACUGGAAGGACUUGAACCUCUUGGGUAAACAGCCCCUUGGCUGAGACAUGGAAACCUUGAGGCUCUUGGCCAUUUCCUAGCAGUUUACAGCUGCUGACCUGCCAACCCGGUGCAGUUUGGGUGCAGCCUUCUCUUCCCCUCGAGGUUUCUAUAAAUGCCCCAGGGCUGAAGGCAAGUAGCCAGAGACACAGAGAAGAAAGGUAUCCUGAGCUCCCUUCUGCAGCCGCAGAGGGAUCAGGAAUUCAGCUGAGUGAGGAGGCCCCAGAUCAUGUGCCCAGGAAUCCCUACAUAAGCAGCUUGAGUCACGUUGUUGGUCAGGAUGCCCCAUCCAUCCAGUUCCAUUUGUGACAUGAUAAUCAGGCUGUGCCCAGAGGAGGGUCUCUGGAGGGCACUCAGGAUGUCCAUGAGCAGAAUCCCCACGUCUGUGCUGACGACUCCGUCCUCCAGCAGUGCUAGAAAGGAGCACUGGAAAGAACUCGGAGGGACCCAGAAGUCACUGGCUCUUUCCAAAGUGAAGCAUUUCCUCCAAGGGAUAGGGCAGCAUGGUGGCUUGGAGGACCCUGCUUUGAAUACUGGUUUGGCCACUGAGCUCUGGACUUUGGGCACACUAGUUCACCUUUCUAAGACCUGUCUCCUUAUUCUAGAAGUGGAGGUGACACUACCUGCCCUCAGCACCAUCUCUAGGUCAGAACUACACAGACUCCAGACUGGUGACCAGCCCUGGUAAGUUCACUCAUUCUCGGGACGUCUCUGCCUUUCCCUCCUUUCUUCAUCUCUAUUGCCAUCCUGGGCCAUGUCAUGUACCCCUUAUUUGUGCUGCUGUUUUUCAUGUGCAUUGAUGAGCCUGGCAGUGCCACUCUCUGGGCUUUAAACGAUGUAUACAUGUGAGUAUGGAAUCCCACAUAGUGACCUCAGCCACAGCAGCUGUUGAGAGAGAACCAAAGGCAAAGAGAGUCGGGGGACAGCCGACGUUCAGAGAUGACCAGAGGCCAAACUUUCUCCCUGCGUUUGCCAGAGCUCCUGCCUCAACAGGCAGACAAGGCAGCAAUGGUGCACCUGUGUGGCGCCAGACACCUGCUGUCCUGAGCGUCCCCUUCUUGUCCACGUCCACCCCAGCCCUGACCACCAAGGCCUGACCACACGUAAAUCCUGAAGUAGAGACCCCACAAGUAUGCGGGCAUGAAAAGGGGCUUCUGCCAUUUAGGGGCUUCCAGUACUGGCAGAUGAGCCAGGAAAAUAAAUGAAGUAAAGAAAAACUGGCCACAAAAAUUCUCGUGUGGACAUAAAACUAUUACAGAAUAUCUAUCUGGGCGUGGAAGCUCUGGAAGUAUUUGACAACAAAAUGUCUCUAAACUAAUCAUUUUGACGAUCUUCUACUUUCCAAACUAUGCCAAUAUAUGAGUAAAACAUGAUUUACUUGAGUGUAGGGGGUAGGGAGAAGAGGAUGGGCUGAGUUAGGAAGGACCGGUCAGUGCUCCCCACAGGUCAGGACUGGACGAUGCAGAACAGGAAGUGCAGUGCGGGGACAUCGUAACAAUCUCAGCGGCAAAACAUCAGGGGAUGGGUUUCAAGAAUAGCAACAGUUUUGAAGCACUAAAUCUCAAGCACGCGCGCGCGCACACACACAGACACACAGAAUACGCUAGAGCAUCCAUUUUCAAUCGUAUUUUUCUAGAGUUCACUGAUUUGAACUUCAGAUACAUUAGAAUCCAUUCACCCUGAAUAGAGGUUGGAUAUUGGCAUUUUUCCUGUGGUACAAACAAAGUAGGCUAUUGAUCAAUGCAAGGAGAUCACCCCACUUAAAGAGGUGCAUUGGCCAAAGAAGAAAGCACACGGGUCAAGACCUGCGGGGAAGCCGUGCUCACCGGGAUCCGGCCUCUGCUUCACAGGAGAAUGCUCAGUCGGAAUUGCAGGGACCUCCUGAGGUCUGGAUAUGGCUUGACUGAGACCCCCAGGGCACACCCAAGUUGGAAGCUUGGUCCUCAGAAUGGUGAUGCGAACAUUGGUUGGACUGUUAGCAUGUGGAGCCCCGUGGGAGGGCACAGGGGCACUGCCCCUGACAGGAAUUAAUGUAGCUCUGUGGGACCCCGUGAUUGUCAUCAGGGGGCUAUUGUAAAAGAGCAAGGCUGCCCCACCCUUACACCCACCACCCCACCUCACCACCUCCUCACUGCACUAUUCCAUCUCUCCCUCUUGAACAUGCUCCACCAUGAUGCCAUCCACCAUAAGGCUCUCUGACCCGAAGCUGAAUAAAUGGAUCUACCCAGUUUUGGACUUUGAACCUCAAAACUGUCAGUUAAAUAUGCCUCUUUUCUUUAUCCCUUUCUUUAUCCCUUCCCGGCCUUGAGUAUUUUGUGAUAGCAAGGAAAACAUACUAAGACAGACUACACCUGGCCCCCAGGGAGCUCAGGACUGGGUCCUAACCCAAAACUGCCCUGGUGCAUAAAAGUAAAGCCAACAGAAUCUACGCCAUUGCUAAUCUCCACUCCCCUGGUUUAAAGAGUUCAUGUCAGCUCCCACAUUAUCCCACAUUCUGCACUUAUUUUUUUAUUUCUAGGAAAGAGUGUAAAGAGAUUCUUGGGGUUUUUGUUUGGUUUGGUUUGGGUUUCGGUUUUAUGUUUGUUUGUUGGUUGGUACUAGCGUGGUCCCUUUGUGAUUUUAGCACAGAUAAGAUAAAUUAUUUGUGAAACAGUAUUACAUAAUUAACUGUGUUUUAGUGCACUGCGGCCAACCUUGUGGGAGGAAACAUUCUAACUGGAGUAUCUUCAGGGGCACUCAGAUGUUCAGAGUUUCACAGGAGCUUCUGGGAUUGUUCUUAGCUGAGUAACUACGUCAAAGACCGAUGGUGUUCACAUUUGUUGGUUUGUUUGUUUGGGGCUUGGACCCGCAGAGCGUGGAGUCGAACCUGACAGAGGAGGGCAGGAGGUGAAACAGGUCAGGGCAGAGCCUCCCGGUAAAAAGGAGGAAGCCAGCUGGGGGGGCAGCCUGUGCCCGCGCUGAGGGACCCCACGGCCGUCCCAGGCUGACCCUGUCCCGAGUGGCUCAUCUUGUAGAGCAGAAGUCUGCCGUAGCACAGGUGGAGUCCCAGGCCGAGGCGGGGGGAUGCACAGCCUGACAAGUCAACAGCCACCAGCUGCCCGGCACAACCCAGGACACACACCAACAGAUCAGUUAGUCCUGCUGAUAAGAAUGACCAUCGGAAGCACGUGGAUGCAUGCGUCUGUCAAACCCGCAGUGGCAAAACCAUGGUCCCGAGCUGGCAAGGAAGAUGUCACCAGGGCAAAUCCUAGUCUCUGAGCCCACAUUGCAGCAGAGCACCGUUCUCCUGCCGUGACCACCACACACAGCCCACUCCAAGUUGACGCUCCAGCCUGUCACUCUGAAACUGCCCUCUGUCUGGACCUGAGCUAGAACAAGUUCCCGGCUGGUUCUCAUCUGGCCACCUACCUUGGUCUCCGCCCUCCCCUUGGCCUCUCAGUUCAGCCUCCUGAACCCCGAGGCUGCCUCCCCCAGCCCCCCUGAGCCUUCUGUGACCUGGGCACAUCAUGUGUGAAUCAAGACUGGAAUGAAGGCACCCGUGAUUGCCUGGCUCACACCUUCCAGGUGACCCACAAGUAUUCAGUGACCGGCCACCGGUGAAGGUGGAGCAGCCUGGGAAUUGGCUGUGAUUCUCAAACUUCUUUGGUCUGUGUGAAUGGCACCACCUCUCAGGACAACAGCCUUAGGCUCCCCUUCCCUCCACCCUGGUCGUCCCUGGCAGCUCCCAGGGUGCCUGCAAAGUAACCCCAGGGCUGCAGGGAGCACAACGUGAGAACCAGCGUCUCACAGAAUGCAAGGUCUUGUAGUCCCGGAAGGAACACAAACAGGAGAAGACUAAAAAUAUCACUAAGUGCACAAGCUUCAGGGCAGUGAAUAUGAGAUUGAUAGAGAUCUCUUCACGUUCUCCAACCAGGGAGUCCUCUUUCUGUCCUCCAGGAGACACCAAGGUCACCUGGAGUGGUCCCAGCAGACAGAACAUGAGGAAGCACCUCCCCAGACCCUCCGCGGGCCUGGAAGGCGUUAGGGUACUGUCACUGAUGUUGAGCACUGUUCCAGAACCUGGACUCCGUGGUAGACAGGGCCGUGCUCUUGGGCAUCCAGUGUUCCAGGGAGCGGAACGGGGACAUGAGGGCUCAACCAAACCACCCCAGAGGCGGCCUGUGAAGGAAGGAGACACAGGGCAGGCAGCCGCCCUCCAGACGGCUCCGUCAGGCCCUGUUCUGCGAGCGCCGGCCCAGCGCUGUCUCUGGGUCUCUCUCCCCUUUCUGAAGGAUGAGGCAGGUCUGGGCUCCUUCCACUUCUUCUUUCCUGAGAAGGACUAAGGGAGCACCGUCGCUGUCCGCCCCCCCAUCCCCGCGCCCACCUUGGUUUUAGCCAGAAACCUGCUUUCCUGCCUUUUCUUUCCUCCUUGCCUCCCCCACCAACACGGCCUCAGUUCUGCAGGUUGGACACGAUAGGAAACAGAAGCAAACCAACGUGGAACCGCUAAGACGCUCUCCUGCCUCCUCCUCCGCGAGUGCCUGCCCAGUGGCCUUGGGGCCGAGGCCUGGCAGGGGGCAGGGGCAGGGCUGGGUGUCAGGGGCGAGAGUUCCUCACAUGGGGACAGCUGGUGCCAUCCCGGGGCAGGAACCUGCCGGCGUUCCCACAGAAUGGCUCCGUGCUCAGCAGCCCUGGUCAGUGAGGAACGGGACAGGGUGGGCUGUUGGUGGUCAGACGAGACAGGCGUGGGGACGUGCCAGGUGAAGUCCUGUGAGGAUGAGAGUCAGGGAACAAUGUCAGGACUGCAGAAGACAGGGUCCAGGGGGACCUGAGCAGAGGGGUGACACCACAGAUCAUCCCUAGCCUCGCUCUGCUCGUUCCACAGCGGGAAGACGGCGACGGUGGAGACCCGUCAAGAGAGGGAUGCGAUUAUCCAGAUCAACAAGAGUGAGUCCGGAAUGGGCCGGGCAGGCUCAGGAUUCCGCUGAGACUUAUCUAAAUGUUUGUUGGACUCAACUUCUAUUCUUGCUCCAUCUUUCGCUCUUUGCAGAAGGAAAUACUUCUGAAGUUUAUGUGAUUGAAUAGACCAGGGCCGGGACCCAGACGCUCACUGAGCAUGACCUGGUCAAAAAAAGGUAGGGGAGUGAGGAGACAGGCCUCAGGGCCCACUCAGGUGAGGCACACGGGAGGCAUCUGGAGCUUUGAUUUGCAACCGGCCAGAGCUGAAUUCUUCAUUAAAAUAAUACGCUUUAUCAUAUUUCAUUAUUUAUUAGCCAUGCAGAUGAACUGACCGUUCACACACGUGUGCGAUGACUGGUGGACGCUUCUCCAUCUGUCUGUCAAGCACUGUGAUAAAUGUUACCUUACCCCUGGGCCACACCCUCUGUGAUCCAAAGCCUCCUUCUGAGAGCAGCUGGAAGAGGGGACAAUUGACAGCUGGGGCACCACCCCUCUGUGGUGACGGCCCCGGCUGAGGCCCGCAGGGUUAGGGUCAGGGUUAGUGGUCAUUCUUAUUAGCACGAUUAAUGGAUUUAUUGGUUUGUGUCCUACGGUUGUGCCAGAAGCUGGUGGUUGUGACUUGUGCAGACAGGGUGUGGAGUCCUCCCGCCUCAGUCCUGAGGCCCCACGUGGGCUAUGGCAGACUCCUGCCAGGUCAGGAGGAGAGCCCCUCCUCCCCCUGGAGAUCUGCGGGAGCGCUGCAGCGUGAAGCUCCCUGGGGCUGACUGUCCCCGUUUCUGAGCAGCCAUGGUGACCACUGGGUUCUCUAACUCCUCCUUCCUCGCCUGUUUCUUCACUGUUGAUCCCAAGAGCACCCAUCAAAAACUCUUAGAGGAGAUCUUCACCUCGAAGUCGGCUUUCGGGGGCAUCUGACCUGCAGCAGACACCAGAUUGUCUUUUGCUGAUUGGAAACACCCCAGGAUCAGCGAGAUGAGUCUCACUGCCCGCUGUGGGAGGGACUGACCCAGCGGGUCGGGGUCACAGUGCAGGAGCUGAGAGACUGGGAGUGUGGCGAGGAGGGACACAUGUGACGAUACAGCAGCGUUAAAGGGGGGACCCAGCAGUGGAGAGGUGGCUCCCGUGGCCUCCCAACAAAGAGAUAGGAGGCCAUUCCUAGAAGCUCCCUUCCUGGGUGAGCUGCCCACACCAAUUUCUGUUUCAUCAAACCUGGAAUCUGACUAGAGCAAAAGGCCACCAGGAGUGGCUGCAGCUUUCAGAGCAGAGGACACGUGGGAGGCGUGGGCCACGUGGUGUGCAGGGUGGGCACGCUUACCUGCUGAAGACACAGUGAGGACACGGCGGCAUUAAGGGGGACCUGGGGGCUCUUGGCACCCCUUGGUGACACAGCUAAUCCAAUUGCUUUGAUAACACCAUGGAAUCGGUGUUAAGUGUAUUAAGUAUAGUAAUGAUUUUGUGUUUAGGUAGGAAAUAUCAUUUUCUUAAAUGUGCAGGUUUGUAUAUGUGGAAUGAGAACACAUUGGUAUUUAUGAAACAUGCAUUUUAGCAAGAAAAGCCAAUUCGACAAUGUUUUUAUCAAUAUUAACUAUUAGGGGUUCAGAUAUUUUUCUUUAUACUAUUUUCUCUAAUGUUUAGAUUCUAAGCAUGUGGAACAAAGAAAGAAAACUGCAUAAUUCUAAGUCUGAACUUACUAAUAUAGGGACAGUUACCAGAUUUUAAAAAGUUAACACGCCAAUUCAGGUAUCAUUGUUUUCUUUUCUCACUGACUGAAUUCUACAUUCAGCAUUGACACAUGGGAAAUAAAGCUGACAGGUCAUUCAUUUAUUGAGAUAUUUUUUAAAGAGUUACCUAGGGACUUUGAGAGAAGACUCCUGAGGUGGUCUGGACCAUCUGCCCGUGCUCACCCCCCAUGGCCUCUGAGAGGCCUUGGGAACACCCGUCGCCACAGCCUUGAGAAACACACGGCCCAGGGGACCUGGAAUCUCUGUUCUCUGUAGGUGGAGGGGAGGAGAUGCUGAGAUGAGAGGAGCUCAGGGGUUCCACCGGGAUGGAGAGACACAGGUGGCGUCCCACCACGAGACACAGGUGUGCGUCACUACCUGACACCCUUGGGCCAGCAUGGUGAUCAGAGCAGUCUCACCAGCAGUGACAGUCUGCAAAGCCACAGCGGUGUUUCAGCCUUUGCAGGGGUGUGUGGCGUUGUGCAAUGCAACAUUAGAUCCUACCACAACACCUUCAUUAACAGCACGUCUGUGAAAAGUGGGGGCUUAGUGGGCCACGCUGGUGAGAAGACUACAGGAAUGGAGAAAUCAACAGGAAUUGAGGGCAGCAGUUUUCAAUAUGAUUCCAAUACUUGACCAGUUGAGUAGUGGCCGACGGGUACACAUGUCCCAUUACUCAUUGAACCAAACAACAACAAAACUCCUUUCUUUCAAUUUAUACAAACGAUGUUUCUCGUGUGCACACUCUGUGGGUUAAGUAGUUGAGAAUUUUUGAGAAUGGAAUAAAAACACUUUUCCUUCCAUUUUAUAUGUACCUCUCUUCCUAUAGUUACUAGGUUGUUAGGACAUAGAUACAUAUCAAACUGCUUAAUCAACAGAACUGUUAGAUAUUUAAUUUGACCUAGGGCACCGUAAAAGUUACUGCAACACUACAGACAUCAAGCACGAGAACACCAGGAAACCUUCCCCCACAGGUAUCCUGACAGCGAGGCGUUCGCUCAUCUGUUAUGAGGACUAAACAACUUGACUAUAUGGCACUAAAAGAAAUGUCCAGAACUAAAGGACAGGGGCCAGGUUUGAUUAACCACAGAGUCCCUUAGUAAGAUUACAGACCUGAUUAUUUCAUGAACUCAGAGUCCCUCACAUGAAGAAGAGGAAAAAAUGUUGAAGCAAUAAUAUGACACAUGAAGAUUUUGCUGGGCCACCAUUAAACUCACAGUGGCUCUGGCCAUACAGCAUUCUAGAGGACUCCACAUAAGUCCACUGUCUUUAUAAAUGAACAUUGAAAGGACCUGAAAAUCAUCAGGUAGAAAUACUGUACCUAAGUGUUUUGAUAAGGAAAUGUGCAUCAGAGAACAGAGGUGAGUUUAUAAAGCUACCGCAGCCUACCACAGCAGGAACUUGUCUACAGUGGCAGAGGACAGGAAGAUCUCAAGUCUAUCAACACGGAAAGCAAAAAUGAUCCACCAAAAAUGAUCCUGCUACCAAAAAUACUUACACAACAUUUUCAGGGAUUUCAGAUUCUGGGGGGAACAUAUACCACCUUUACACUUCUAAUAGUUUUGAAUGAGAUCCAGGUCAAGGGAAGGCUCUUUGCCGUGCUAGGACUUUGUGCCAGCAGUUCUGCCAAUCUGACUUGCAUGACAAAGAGAAUCAUGUACUGCGUAGCCUGAGGGAAAUGCUUGUAAGAGAAUCAAACUCAAGACACCCUGGCUUGGAAGCAAAGCCAAGCCCUCUUUCUCAGGUAAUUCUACUUUUAAAAAAAUAGGUCUUUUCCUGUGAUUCUUUAAGCAUAAUUAACUUGUCUUGUUCAAGUUUGGUAACACUCGAGAAGUACCUGAUAGCAACAAACUCAAACAUCGUCAGUAGGAAACACCUUCAAGGGGCUACAAGAUUCAGGUAAUUAAAGUCCCACCGAAUGUGAACUCACAGCCCAAAGUUAGAAAAUACUUGUAGACACACACGUAUUAGGACUAGGCUCCCACCAGGAGUUUAUAAUUGAACAAAAAGCCAGAGACUACAAAAUUAAAAUGUUCAAAAUAAUUACACAAAGGAAAACAUGGGAAAAUGACAUAUUUUGAAAAAAAAAGAAUGCCUAAAAUGAAAAAUAUAUGCAUUGAAAUUGCCCCUGUAGAGAGAUUAAAUUGGAAUCUAGCUACAGGUAUAAAGAGAGUUAAUUAACUGGAAGAUAUAUCUGAAACCUAGAAAGUAGCACAGACAGGCAAAUAGAUGGAAAAUACGAAUAGGAAAUGAAGAAACAAGACGAAUGAAAUGAGAAGGCAAUAUAUAUAUAUAUAUAUGUAUUUAAAGGUUUUCUGAAUGAAAGAGGUAAGUUAAUUGGACAAGAUAUUGAAAAUGUUUAGUUUUGAUGAAAGAAAAGAAUACAGAAAUUUAGAAACCAUUAUGUCCACAUUGAUCUCACAUUGAAACCAUAACACAGGAAAGGUAAAGAGAAAAUAUAAAGGCAUCUGAAGAGAAGAGACAUUAUUCUUUGCAAAGAAAUAGCACAUAGUCCAGUCCCAAUCCAUUCAAUAGCAACAAUAUACAUCAAAGGUAAUGAAAUAAUAUAUUCAGUGUUGAGAAAGAAUAAUUAUCAAUUGAGUAUUUCAUGCCCAGUCAAACUACCAUUCAAGACUGAACAUGAAUUAAUGUUUUCAGACUCAUACUGUGUGAGUUUACCAUUAAGAGACCCUUACUGAAAGAAUUUCUAAGUAUGUGAGUAGUUACAAAAGAAUUUCAAUCUAGAAAGAAGAACAUAUGAGCAAAGGGAUUGGAAAACAUCCAUAAUUCUAAGCAACCACUGAAAUUCGUAAUAUAAUCAUAAUAAUUUUCAACCUUGCAAGUACACAAGAUCAAAAUAAAAUAUAAAAGGUAAAAAUAGGAUAUAAUGAUGGGUGACUAGAUUUCCAUUGACCCAAUGUUCUUUUUUCUUCCCCAAUGGAGGUAAAAGAUAGUGAUUAAUUACAAACUUGUUAAGGACAGUGUGCAUAUUAGAAUUUUAAGAAAAACACAAAAAGAAAAGAAAUUGAAUGUAUAGCUACAAAAAUAAUAGACAUAGAAGAGAUCAUCAAGAAUGUUACUGCAUGAUCAUGACAGACCAAGGUACCAGAGAAAUCUAUACGCUCACAAUGAACUGAAUGUUUCUGAUCCACUUAAAUAAAAAAUCCAGGGGCUGGGGUUGUAGCUCAGUGGUAAAGCACUCACCUAGCACAGGCGAAGCCCUGGGUUUGAUCCUCAGCACCACGUAAAAAUAAGUAAAUACAAUAAAGGCAUUAUGUCCAUCUACACCUAAAAAAUAAAUAUUUUUUUUCUAAAUUCCAGGCAUCCCCACAAGCCCUCCAUCAUUUAGGAGAAGUCGCAUAUCAGGAUCUGACCUGAGCAAGUCCCAAGUGGGCGAGAAAGUGGGUCUGCUCCCAUUAUGCUUGCUCCAGCCGCACAGUGUCACCCUGCUUCAUCACCACAGCCAUGACCUCAUGGGAAGCUCUCCAAGACCAUAUUUUGAGUUUUAUGUACAGAAGGUGCAGCUUGACAUGGCCUGAAUGUCCUGCUUCACCAUUAGGAAGCCACACAGAGAUGGCUCUAAAGGUUAGUGGAAAACAGGUGUUCUUCCCAAGAGACCAACUUGAAAUGUUUAACUUGUGGUUUGUAUGAAAGGAGAAGUUCUCUCAGAUACGGACCUGAGUCUACUGGCCAUGCUUCUCAAAGGAGCAAAACACAAGGAUUAACCACAGAGAGUUGGAGAAGAGUGUAUGUAGAGAUCUCUUGGAAAGGCCCCUAUAUCUAGCCACCUCUAGCCUCUUAAUCUAGCCACCUAGUUUGUCCAGUGAUCUUAUAAACAAGCUGUCCAGGCUGGGGGGCUAGAAAUGAGGCAAGGUCUCUAUAAUAGCAACUUGAUAUGUAAUUUGAAGCAGCUACUACCAUGCUAAAUGCCCAAUUUACCCAACUACUGAGUUCAACUCCAAGUAUUCAAUAUGGUGUCCCUCAGUUAGGGACAGUCGGCUAACUGCUAUCAAGUCCAUUACAUCAGAUGUGGAAAGGAAAACAACCUAACUCACUAGGUAGAGUCAUUAUUUAUUUGAAUGUCUUCUCUGCACACCACUCUUCUGCCAGUACCAAUGUGGACUAUUGAAUGUUAGUAGAAAAUUAUAGUGGCCACAUGCAGACUGUAUCCCAAGGGAAUACAAGUCAGGUUUCCCCGUCAGGUAAAAUCCUGUCAGCCAUGUGUCUGGCUAGAGGCCAAAGAAAAGGGAAUGGGGAGGGAGGAACCACAAAACUCCCACUUAUUUCCUUUGUUCAUGAGAAUCACCGACACAUAUAGUAUGAUCUUGGGAUGUGGUCUUGCCAGAAAAAAGCAUUUUAGUGGACUGUUCUUUCAGAAGUUUUCAUUAUAAAAAUAAUGAUUUUCUUUUCAAUUACAUUUUUUUAAUUUUUUAUUUGUUUUAAUUAGUUAUACAUGACACUAGAAUGCAUUUAUGCACCUUGGCAUAUCAUUCAUAGAUGGGAUGUAAUUUCUCAUUUUUCUGGGUGUACAUGUUGCAGAAUCAUAUUGGUCAUGUAGUCACAUGUAGACAUACAGCAAUAAUGUCUGUUUCAUUCUGCUGUCUUUCCUAUCCCACAUCGCCUCCCCUGCCCUCCCAUCACUUCCCUCUACAUAAUUUAAGGUAACGCUAUUCUUCCCUAGUGCCCCCUGCCUUAUUGUGAAUUAGCAUCCACAUAUUAGAGAAAACAUUUUAAUCAUGAUAAUGAUUUUUCAAACUAUAUGUGCUGCCCCAGAGAAACUUGCAAGGCUCCCUCAUGGGAUCCUUCAGAUCAAUGCACAGGGUGGGAAGAAAGCGGCUCUCUCCUGUGCUGUCAGAGUGGAGCACAUUAGAGCAAGAAAACACAUUGAAAUCCUCCCACUGCCUUGCACCUGAUGAGCAUAGCACUCCCAGGUGUCCUCGGAACCUGUAGCCUACAGCACAAAGGCAUUCUAUCUAAACCCUGAUGGUUACUUCUAUGAAAACAGAUGUUCAAGAGGGGACAGAGUCACAUUAAGAAAACACACACAUAGAUUCCCAUAAGGCAAAUUAAUGUAUUCGAAGAAACACAACUGAAGUGCUAUUUGAUGUGGUUGCUGGUUGCAAGUCCAUCUGCUCUCCACUAGAAGCCCAACACUCUGGAGAUGAGAAUUGGUGGGAAGGGAAUCAGGUUGAUUCAAGGGCAGUAAGAAGAUGGGGGAGCCCAUCUCCACCCUCCUGGCCACCACUUUAGGGAGAUGGCUAUGCUUUUGCAGGGAGGAGAAGGAGGUGUAGCAGGAGGACACGCAGGUGGGCUAUGAGCUGGGUUGGGCCUUCCUCAUCCAGGGUGUCUGCUUCCCCCUCUGGUUGGAACACCACCAUCAACCUUGACCUCCUGGGCUAGUCUCCGGGACUCUUUAGACAAGUUCAACCUCACAGCCAUGUCCGUGCUUUGUGUUACCUGAUGCACAGGACCAAAGAACAGGAGGGCGUUACACAUUCCCACGUUAUCUGAAGGUCACCAGGUGUCUGCUUUUAGUGAGCUAGAGAAAAUUUAUUUAGCUGGUGACAUUGUCCCCAUUUAUGUAUGGCUUUUCUUUAAAUUUAGAUAGAAUGUCAGGUAAAGGGAGGGAGUAACUCUGCAGAGGAGUGGCCACCCCCACUGCAAUAUUUAAUUUGAAAUUUUGUUCUGUUAACCGUUACACGAACCAGGUUUCUUCCAGUAAAUUUUCCAUUUGAUAUUCCUGGCUAUUAAAUUAAAAGCGACCUUCUUGCAAAGACAGAUACUGUCAUGAGCUAAUGAGGAGACUGACUGAUCCUGAAUGUGCCCGGCAGGAAUGAGAGAGAGACGUCAUCCAUAAAGGGAUUGUGCACCUGGUGGGAAAUGUCUUCUGGUGCCAGUAAAUCUGGACACGCCCUUCCCAUGCAUUGCAAGAAAACGAUGUUUUGGAUUCUGUAUUCUACGGUGGUUUUCAUGAAAGUACUGUUUUGGUGCAUCUCGUUUCUCAGAAGCAAACAAAUGUGGGUCAGUGGCGCCUAAGCAGCAAGGGACAAUAGGACCCAAUGCACUGUUGGUUACAGAAACAAGAAGAAAGCAGGAACCAGGCAACCACAGUGUCAGGCACAAGAGCCAGGAAGGAAGAUUUACCAGUUCACCAACUAGAACUGAAACAAAGGAAACACCUGUUGUGGUCACAGAGGCCAGAGACAGUGAGGGUAGGUGCGGGCAGGGGUCCAGGAUCCACAGAGUGAUGAGGGAUAAGCUUUACUGUUGGCGGGGUGGGGGGAGGUGUGGAAGAAUCUGGAAAACACCCAGUUUCUUUCUGCUGAAACACCAGGUGGCCAUCUGCUGCUGUCUCCUGUGCUCUUCUCGCCCAACCGUCCUAGGACUUGUCACAGUGCCCGUUAACUCUGCCACACAGUCCUUCUGCUCAGGGUGACCUCGGUGUCCACACAGUGGACUCUUGCAGAGCAGUCGGUUCACAUCUCCAGGGACCUUCACCAUCACACCUCAGCUACCCACUCCUGUGGCACCUCCUGACCCCCAGACGCUCCUAACUACGGGCCUCCUGAGGACUCUAGUGCAGACCUGCCAUGUCCACACCCGGCCCACCCUUCUGGGGGCACUGGUCACGCUGCUUCACCUGCCCCUGAUCCACACACGCUCUCCAGUUCCACCUCCCCCCAAGGAGCCCUGGUCACACCUGUCCUCACUCAGCCAACACUCAGGGACCGUCUUGCCAAAGCUCUUCUCCCUGCCUCCCUGUCUUUCCGAUGUUCUCAUCUGUGUCCAGAGACAAUCCAAACAGAUUCAGCUUCAAGACUUUGACUGCCUUCCUUGAGAUUCUAGGAUGGAGGACUUUUCCCUCCUUCCAAUGGGAUGAGGGUUCCAAUGAGCCAGGCAGAAGAGGUUGGUUUUACAGAGAGCGAAGGCGGGAAAAGCAGAGGCAAAGAAGGACAUGCAGAUGAUAGAGUUUCAAAGCUAUUUUCUUCCUAAGGCAGGGACAGACAGAGAGAAGGACAGAAGACGGAUAAUAUUGGGCCACUGCAGGUCGCUUUGUAAGGACUGAAGCAGGGAAUAUUUGCGCCGGUUGAAACUGGCCUGUGGGAGAAGUGCUCAUCGCUCUCUUCUGACUUCUUACAGGUCAGAGAGCAACUUAAUUCCAACAUGGUGAUGUGGGACUUUGAGUUUAGCCUGCUCUGUUGGGACCCAAGGCCAGAGCUCAGUCCAAAACAAUGGUCCCCUGUGAUUUUUAUUUAACACACGAUAACCUGACACUGAAUUAACACACACCAAUGUUUGCUUAGCCUCUGCAAUCUACAUCAGAUCCUGUUCUUCACCUCUGUCCUUCCUCAUUCUUAACAGAUGAUCUUGGCUCUUCCUUAAUAGAGAAAAUAAAAGCCACCAAGUAGGCCGACCCAUUUUCGACCCUGCCUACGACCUCACCUGCAACAGCAGUCCCCAGUCUGACUGCCCUGCUGCGUGUUAGGUGCAGAAGGUGUUUCUCUGGUUGUCUGAGUACUUCUCUCAUGCUCUGGACCUUACCUUCAGCUCCUAUUUAAAAUGUAGUUUUUCAUACUUAAAAUUUUAAUUCAAUAAUUUUUUUAAAGAAGGUAACUUAGUAAAUCAUAUAUGCAAUGUCUUCCAUCCAUGCACUCAGUUGACAUGGCCCCCUUUGUAAAAAUUCAGCUACAAAAAAAUCAGAUAUAUAAAAAUGAGGGACAGAUAAAGCAUGUACCCAGUGAAGUGUAAUUCAGAAAAAUUCUAAGCUCCACAGGAGAAGUGAGGUAAAGCAGACUGUCCAAAGGAGGAAAUAUUAAUUUCGACCCAUGGCAGGAGGAACUUUCUGCAGUCCUAAGACUUAAAGGGAUGGAAUAUAAAUUGGAGCAUAAGGAUCUGGAGCCAGGGAGAGUCCCAUCGAGGAUGCGAAUGGCCGUGUGCCUGUGUUCUGAAGAGAAGCCUAAACGUCAGCCGUUCCUAGUGAAGAGCUAGUGGUUGGAGAUAUUGGAGAUAUUGAAAAAGAGGCCACGAGGAGCAGAGAUGUCGGAAAAGCCCCAACCUCUACCCCUUCCUAAGACGACUCCUGUCUUCACAUCUUUCCUUAUUCGACCUGUUUGAGUCCAGCUCAUAAUGACUCCAAAUGCCAGACCAAGAAACGCAGGCCUCGUUCUUCAGAACGCAUAGAUUGUAAAAUGCUCCACUUGUGUUUGGCUUUUAACCAGAGAUGAGAAACUCGGAGCUGUCAUUCAAAAGGCUGGUCUGAUUGGAGUGUUUGAAGAAAUUAAGAGACAAAGGAGUCAGAGAAUCAAGCUCAAAAUGAUCAUUAUUAUGAAUAUCAUGGGUGCACUGUAUCAUCAUGAAGUUUUCCAAUUAGCCAUAAUAUCCCAGAAGAUCUACUGGACAUUCAUGUGAGAAUCCACUCUAUACAGUUUACACAGCUGGCAUUUCAAAGAAGCAGGUUUAUCAUCUGCUUUUGUAAAUUUCAUAAUCUUAUAUUAAAAAUAAGAUAUAAAAGUCCAACUAACACUAUGAAAUACAGACUACAACAGUUCAAAAAAAAACUGCAAUUAUUAAAGUAUAGAUUACCCGGCUCUUAGGAGCAAGGGUUGGCAGGCUGUUCUCUAAAAGGCCAGUGAGUGAAUAAUUUAGAAAUCUGUGGGAUAGUUGGUCACUGUUGCAAAUACUCAAUAUUUCUGUUGAAGCAAAAGAAGCAACCACAGAAAAUACAUAAAGAAUAGGUAUGAGCCAGGUGUGAUAGCUCUGGCUCAUAAUCCCAGUAACUCAGGAGGCUGAGGAAGGAUAGCAAGUUCAAGGCCAGCCUUGAACUUUUUAUUUAAAAAAAAAAAAUAACUAGUGGUCAAGGGAUCCUGGGUUCAAUCCCCAGUACCCCAAAAAAGAAAAGAACAGGCAUGGUUGUGUUUCAAUAAAACUAUAUUUAUAGAAACUGUCCCAGGAUAUCCAUGGAAGCUAAAAUUCAUGGCAGAAAGUUUGAUGAGAAACAUGACAUUUAUCUAAUCUUGACAUCUGGCCUCUGGUGAAGGCCCAGUCAUCACAACAUGGCGGAGAACAGGAAGGACAUGGCCGCGGGCAGAAGCGGGAGGCACAACAGUUGCCUUGCUUUGUAACAGCCCAUUCAGGAAGAACUCACUGGCCAACCAGCAGCAAUCCCCCCGGAGCAGCACCCCAUGACCUAGUGACCUUGCACAGCCCCCAACUCUCCAAGGUCCCUCCACCUCAACACCACCCCACUGAGGACCAAGCCUCCAGCACACAAACCUUCUAGAACAAACCACACCCGCCCGGCAGCACAGGUCAACCAAGGGCAGGAAAAACUUGCAAGGUGGUGGGAUAAGAAUCUUAAAGCCCUGAGAGGCUGGUGUGAGCAACUCCCGCAUCAGGCAGAAUAUCAAUGCUUCAGAAAUUUCCAGCUGGCUUUGAACAGACUCUUUUUAACAUAGGAUAACCUGUGAUUCCGUUAAGAAAAAGACAAAACUGAGCUUGGUCAAGUAGAAAAGGCUAAUGAAUCCAUGGCAUAUUUCAAAAUAUUUUCAUGAAUGUUAAAGAAGCUAAACAAAUCAAAACUUCCAGCCCUGUGAGAAGAAGGAAGCCUGUCACUUUAAUGGAACCUGUGCCACCAGGGGCCUCGCGCUGCCACCGUAUUUAAGUUUAAACAACAACAACAAAAAUCUAUCUAAGAAUCGGGCAGAUCCAGGUGUUACGGGCCCAAGAUUCAGGCAACGUGCAGAUCUCUUUUCAGGGAAAAAAUGUAAAAUUAUGAAUAUAGAAUUAGAUGUAAUAAUAAUGAAGAAAGAGAAAAUAAAUCAUGAUAAAUUAUGAUUUUUAAAAAGUUGACAAACACAAAAAUCCAGGAAAGUGGUUGGUGGAUACUCAGCAUGACUUUUUAUACUUUUUCUAGAUUUGGUGGCUGCAUAUUCUUUGACUGCCUUUCCACGUGACAAAAUUCUGUUAUAGUGUGAUCUGUGCAGAGGGAGGAAGGGGGUCUGCUGGCAAGAAGCCCGAAAACUGAAGUUUCAUUGGCAACAAGUAAAUAUUCCCCUUCCCACAGAUAAAAUGCUUCUGAGCAAUGCUACAUUGCUUGUCGGAGCAUUGAAGGGUGACCUCUGAGUGUCAGAGUCCUAGGUAAGUUGGAAGUCCAGGGGCUAUGCCAAAUCCACCAAGCUCCUGGGCUUUGGGGCAUUUUAUUAAUAAAGAAGAAGCUUUUGAAACAAAAGGGGCCUAGCUGCUCUAUAUGCAUGGAGUGAUCACAGAACCAAGGGAGUCGUAGUUAAAUAAGUCUAAAAGAGCUCCCUCAAUAAGAAUAAAGGCACACCCUGAGAAAGCGUGGUGGAGAGUGUGUCCCCUGAAACCUUGGAGCAUAUUACAAUCAAGGAUCUCAGAGCCACCAACACUCAGGCAGUUUAUUUUGAUCCCUUACUAUGGACAAGUCACGCUCAGAGUUCAAGAAAUUUAGGGAAAAUCCAGCAAAGCACUUUCAACAAGUAAAAACGGACAUUGAUUUAAAACCCCCAGGUCCAGCGGGGGUUGGGCCCAGUUAGUGCAGUGAGGGUCCUGACCAAGCAGGACCCCUGUGGAUCAGAGGAUGGAGCAGAGUCAGAGGAUGAGCUUCAACUAGCGUCUAUUCGGCUCAUAAAGUGUGAACACUAAUUCCACAGCAGGAGCAAGGAGUCAAGAGUGCAGCCAGGCAGAACUCGGGGCGGCACCAGGAGAGAACCAGGCCCCCAUGUUGUGUGGAUCCGAGUCCACCCGGCUCCCUGCUUCCUGCAUGGCCCCUGGGAGAGCCCCGGGAAUACAGCCGGUGAUCAUCUGCGUAUCUGGGGCAGUUAAAAGAACUGCCCCUGUUUGAUCAAAAGCAGUGAAACUCACGGCUAAAAUCACUGCUAGGUUAAGGGCUGCGAAUAUGCAAAUCAGGAUGAAACCUGUAUCGUAUCGUUGUUCCUCGUGGCAACGCUAGGACCCGUGUGCGGAAGGUGUGAGGGGCAGUUCUGAGGCCUGAGAAACAGGAUCUGUGGUGGAACGUUCGCCUCCGUUAACUUAGAAGAGUGCCGCAACACUCUCGAUUGUCGGUAGUGUUUGUUAAAUUAAUAAGAAGUAAGAAGUGAGCAGUAGUAGGCUGCUCAUCAGUUCCAUUCUACAGACAGGCAACCGAGACCCGGGAAGCUGGUGUUACUUUUCCACAAACAACAGAGCCAGGAUUUGAACCAGAGACCAGGUUCUGCCCGCGCAUACUCACCAGGCAGGGAGGGGCUGACCUAGUCCCCCGCCACAGGAGUGGGGACCCUGGGUCCCACAUCUCCAGUCUCGGUCGUGUGGGGACCUCAGCUGUUGCUGAUGUCACUUGUCACAGCCUGUUUGGGCCAGUUCAGUCUCUGUAUUAACAAGGCGAAGUCAGUCCUAUGGAACAAGGCGCCUGCCAGGCACCAGAGAAGCGCAGGACACACCUGUGUGGAACCAAGUCCUGCCGACCACCAACACCUCACAGAAACCUACUCUGGUAUUCUGUGGGCUCCCUGCAGAUUCCCACUGCAUCAAGAAGCAGGGUCCAGCUGGCUCUCCUCGAGCGCCAGAGCUGUGAGCUCCACGCCCCGCUCAGCCCACUAGGAAUGCGUGUCCAGCCUCGGCCAGAGGCCAGCAGCCUCCUGUUAUUCCACCGCGGUCACUGCCCUGUCACCAGGCAGGCGAAUGAUUCGGAGCAGGAGUGGCAGUAUGUGAGGUGGGCACCCUGACGGACAGCAGGCCCCAGAGGAGGAGUCACAGCCUGGCAAGGACAUGCCAGGGGGCAGGUGUCCUUGAAGACCUGAGAGGUUCCUUAGCCAGAGAAUUUUAAUGAAGGUAAGAAAACCUGUCACGUUAAGGUUGCCAGAGAGUCUCAGGAAGUCAGGGCAGGAUGGGGUCCAGGAAAAAGAACUGGGUAUGCCACAGAAGGCCCAUGGGCCAAAGGCUGCGUCCCCAGCCCUUGGCACUGGUAGGAGGUGGUGGGACCUUUAGGACGUCAGGCCCAGAGGGAGGUUUGGGGUCACAGAGUGGGGCAUGUCCUCAUGAGGACUGUGGACACCAAGCUCUUUCUCCUCUGUUUGCUCCCAAGCUGCCGGGAGCCGACAGCUUCCUCCACCACAUACUCCCAUCAGGACGCGCUGCCUCUCCACAGGCCCAACACGCAGGGCCAGCCAACCACGUACUGAAGUUCUCCACAACCGUGACCCAAAUAAACCUUUCCUCUGUUUAACUUGAUUAUCUCAGGUAUUUUGUUACAGUGAUGCAACUAACACAGGAUAGGAACAAUUAUUGUGUAACUACCAAGCAUCAAGGAUUGUACCAGAUAUUUUUUCAUUACUAUCUAAUCUAAUUCUCCCAAAGCCCAAGGUCCCUCAGAUAGUAAGUAACAGAGUUAUAAUUUGAACUCAAUUUUUUUAUGAUUCCAAAUUCAUUGCUCUUCCCACUCUAUUACCUGUUUAAUAUAUUGAGCAACACCUUGACAAAAUUUCUCUUUAAGAGGAUAUUCUUGUUUUAUUUCCUAGAUGCUAAUGCUACAUCAGAUAUCCGAUGUGAUUUUUGUGUGAGGUUAUUCUACUGAAUUGGUUUGUGGAAAUGUUAACGACUAAGGUUUUAACGGGACCAGCAGUAACUAUUUAGUGGUACCAGGGCUGCAAAUGUACAUGAGUUUUCCGCGAAGAAAAAUGUAGGCAACCACCAGUUUCUGUUUGAAAAUAAUGGAGUCAGUGCCUGGUGCUCACCAGCUCUACCGUGGGACUCACCUGGAAGACUGAGCUGUGGGCCUUCGCAGACCAAAGCCUGGACACAUUCAGAUGCACAGCUUCUAGCUGUGCAAUAAAUGAACUCAGUAAGAAAAUACAACCCCAGCAGAGAACUAUGGACAGACAUACUCAUGGAGACAGGGCUGGGGCCGGCCACAGAAGGCCAGCUUUCAUCCAACGAGAUCCAAGACGAAGGGAAAAGGGUUCUGUUUCUCCUAAGGAGAACUAGAAGAUAUCCAUGACGGAAGGAAGGUUCCAGAGGUAUGUAUCUGCCAUCUCCAAAGUCAAGGAGCCUCAGAACUGUAGCCUCUGUAGCUCUGGAGUAAAAUAGGUCAGUGACCAGCUGCUAUCGAAAUCUGCAUUUCAACCCACCGAAGAAGUGGCUGUUUCACAAUCAGAACCUGCUGAAAACGGAACGAGUUGCUUGAGGAGGUGAGAAGCCCUUCCGCUCUAGGUGAGGGAGGAAGGGGGGCCUUGGCUGAGCUGUCUCUCGGGGUACUGUGACGAGCUCCUGUGGUCUGUCUUCCAGGGUUGGAAUCUCCUAUUUAUGAUUCUCCUCAGUGUCCCCAUUUUUCUCUCUAGGAGAAUACCUGCAGCAUCUGCUCCAUGUCCUUCUGUGGGAUGCCUCCUUCCUGUCCCCAGCAACUUCUCCAUCCUUGACUGAAUCCGCCUUCUUUCCAGUCACCUGGGAAGGCCCGCCGGUCCUCCUGCACAUCACACCACGGCUCACCCUCACACAUGGCAACCCGUGUGCUCUGGAGAGUACCAAGAGUGAACUCCAGGGCAGGAAUCACAGUGAAAUCUCCAGCGCUUCACCGUAUGGGCAGGAAAACUGCAGCUCCUGGAGGUGGUACGAAGUGCCCAGGGCAGCAGGAGCCUCCCAGUGGGUCAGCCUGACUCCCCGUCUUCAGGUGCGGAUGGCAGCCAACCCGCCCUGACCUCACCCUGGACCAUUCCUCUCGCUGAGGCCCCGGCUUGCUGAGGCCGACUGGUUUCUUGGAAUGUGACAGGAAGAAAUACACAGGCUUUUCUUCACCAAAGAGUCUCGGUGACUCCUUCUGGUGUAGAGGUCUUGACAGAGGCCCUGAUUCAACAAGGAAGUGAGUUCUGCAAAAUAAAGCAAUGCGAGUCCCAAGGAGAUGGGAUUUUCCUUCUCAGCUACCACCUAAAUUGCAUAUUCCAUUUUUUAUUUAUUAAAAAGUUAGUGCAGAUUUGAGCAAAAACUAUUUUCUCAAUUCUGAAACAGAACAAAUCUGGGAUGUCAGAAAUCUCAAACCAGAUCUGUGCCAUGUAUUUGUCUCUCAUUCUGAGUUCUUAAUCAGUGUUAAAUUACUACAGAUGGCAUGGAUAUUGUCAUCCUGUAAACACGAGUUCACCCAGAGACGAGUCAGCCCACAGCCCAUCUGGAGACAGGCAGCAGCCACCACGCGCCAAGUGUGUGUUAGUCUCCUGUGCCCUGCUAAAGCCCACGGCCAUCCUGGAGGUAGACGCUGUUCUCCCGGGUCUUUGAGAGACAAGGGCACCUGAUCGUGUACUUUACAAACCGUGGGGCCAGGGCUUGAGUGCAGAGCUUGGGAGCUCUUUCUUCUCUUUGCAUCUCUUCCCAAAGAAAGCCCCAGAGGUCACCAACAGACUGUGGGGAGUUUGCCGAAGGGGAGCGUGUCUACCUUCAGAAAGGAGACCAAGGAGGAUAGGACAUUAGGAGUGGAGAAGAAUGUCCAAGUGUCCAUCAAUCCAAGCAGAGAAAACAUGCCCCAGGCAUGGAGGAGACAAGUGGGGAGAGGUGUCCAAGUCCAUCAGCAAAACAGGCUGAGCCAGACCUCACCUUGAAGGGGGCCACUGCCCACAUCACCAGACCUGUUCCUCACUGGGGUCCUCUGUAGGAGGUGGCCAGGACCAACAGGGCAAUGGUUUGAAGUAGGAGCUGUGGGUAUCUGUCAGCUGUGGGCCCACAGCCAAGGCACACAGCUCUCCUGGGAACCGGCAGCCCAAGCCUCACUGCCACCCGGCUGUCACCGUGCACCUCGGCUGUCACUGCGCACCUUGUGGGCAAGGCGCUUAGAGGCCUCAGAACUAUGUUUUUAAAAUGCAAAUUAUUUUCUAGAGAUUGCAAACUUCAGAGUUCUAAAACCAGUAAGAGCAAGCCGACUUCUCCCACCAACUCUAUUCAGAUUCAUGGAUUCAAAGUUGGAGUUCACGUUUUCUUUCUUAUUUUCUUUUUUCCUUACUUUGCACUCUCUUCCUUAUUUCUUCUUCCUUUUCUUCCUCAGUUUUAAAUGACUUUUUAAGUAGACUCUGUGUGGAGGUUAUGAAGGAGCUUGAAGAAGUCAGUUACCCACGUGGAGGAACUGGGGAGACGGAACAUGUGUCCCUACAGUGACUCUAGUAGCCAUGCGGUAGGUCUCCUGCCUCUUCAAGAUGUGUCACCUUCUCUCAAAUCCAAUCAUCUCUCCACUUCUACUUUGUUUUGAUUUUUUUCAAGUUUCCUGCCUUCCGAAGUCUUCCAUUUUUCUAAAGCCAUUGUUUAUCACCUUUGACCAUUCUCAUCUUCAUUUCUCAAAGAUCACUUCCAUUAUUUCAAGUUCUUUUCCAAGCUCUGUAACCACAUUUCUGAAUCUAUUUAAUUCAGUUUAAUCUCUGCUAACCUAAGUCAGAAUAGUUGUUGCCUCUGAUAAGAGGUCGGCACUCAUGGAACAUUCUAGGUCUUGAUCUUGAUGAGGUGAGGUUCAGGGUGGACAUUUGCCGUCACUUAGUGAGCUAUGUCCUUAGGGGUUGGCUGUUUCACCACAUGUAUAUAAAUUGUACCUUAAUAAAGUACUGCUGGGGGUGGGGCAAGAAUCGUUCAAGCAUGACCCUGGCAGUUCGAUCCCCAGCACAGUCAUCUGCUUCUGCUAAAUAUUUUAUUUUUCCAUAAAAGGUAGGGACCUAAAUAUACUGGAUGAGGCUCCUGUGGAGAUUAACCGAAGCUCUAGUCUCUGUAGCAUCAAGGUAGGGCUCCUUCAGGGACUUCCCGAUCUCCGGCAAGGGAAGUCCAGUGCCCCUUUGAACCACUGUAAGUGGUUCCUCUUUAAUCGCACAAGCCCACGGGUUUAAUGAAAAGUGCCCAAGUUCAGGACAGGCCUUUCCACGCGUAUAUUCUGCCUCCUUGUCUGGAGAAUAGUCCCCUCCCAAAAGGUUGAGGAGACAUUCUUGGAAUCUAUGUUCGGUGGCUUUUAGCACCAAGCCCAGCUAGCUGAGCUCAACUACUACAGAAAUUCUAGCUGCAGUCCUGCAUGUAACCUAGGGGUCCAAGGUCCGUGAUGCUCACUCUCCCCUGACCCCUGGAUCAGUGACCCUCCACUCUAGAGAAGCUGCAGUACACACUUGGGUACAGAUCGGUAAUGAGAAAACCAGAGUUGGAGAUGAAGUGUGAUUCUCUGGGGUGGAGCCCCUGCAAGCUGCAGGCCUUCUACAGCAGAGAAAGCCCCCUUUAGUGUUAGCAGCCGAUCACAGCAGGGUGUCACCUCCAAGGAUCCCAGAGUCACAGGCCACAAAGCUGGAUUCCUCGGCACUACCCCUGAGUGAUGUGCUGCAGCCCUAACUGGUAGGCCAGACUCUCCCGUGUUGGAACAGAGGUAGGGACUCACCACAAACCUCUUUCAGGGUUCUCUGCUUGCAAAUCAGAAGGAUGGAAUUCACAGGACAAUAAAGUCAAGAGUGACAGAAGUAGGAUUUAUUCAAGUGUGGAGAACAGAAAAAACUAUGGCAAUAGCAAGAGAGGAUCGCGACAGGGAUUAUCACCUGCGGCUGCUGGUCUCAGGGUUUAUACAGCCCUUGGGUCAACACUAUUGGUCCAAAGUUAUAAUAAGAGUUGGGAAAAAUACUGAUGCUCUUGGUACAAAGUUCUGCUAAUCAGCGUUUGGAAAAGUACCAGCCCUGAGCUGACCUUCCAGGCAGGUCUGCCCCACUUCCAUGGUCCUACCCCUGUAGGGGGUGGGAGGUGGAGGUUGUUGGAUGGUGGAUGCUUGGGGGUUCUAAGCUGCAGUGCUAUGCAGAGUGGGCAUCUGCACUGGGCCUAAGCCAGGCUGCCUGGGCCCUGGCUCUCCUAGGCCCUGGCCCUCUGCACCUCAGGCCCGUGCUGGCAUGGCGGGCUCCACAUAUCCUAGGCCAGUGCCAACCCCAAGGACUCCAGCCUAGGCUGUUGCUCCACAGCUCCAGGGCAAGGACCUGGUUCACUGAUGUUGGGGUGACCAGCUAGUCCUGCUAUGCCCAAGACUUUCCCAGUUUUAGCAUUAAACGUGGCACAUCGCAGGAACACACAGUCCCAGGCAAACCAAGAUUGUAUGUUGGUCCUCUUCUCCAGAAUCCUUAGGGAACUGGGUCUACCCUGCUAAGCUAAAUUUUCUUAUUAGCCAUAGAAUCUUAAAAUGAUUACUGAUCUUUUUCUCUGAUGUAGAAGUAACACAAACUUGUACAAAAUUAUAAAGAAAAAAAAUCACCAACAAUACCUCCCACCUUGCUGGGUAAAUAUGCGGUGCCAUGAUUUUCCACCGAGCACUGCGUCAUGAAAACCUUUCUCACGAUGAGACCUACCUCCCAAGGUGUGUUAGUAUCUGCCUGGGAGCCUCUGUGAACCAAUGCACCAUAAUUUUAACUGUUCCUCUUUGGCUGGACUUUGGUUCACUCCCCCUGACACUAUCUCUUCCUGCUUUUAAUGAAUGCUGUGAUUAACAUCCUCGGGCACAAAUCUUCUCUGUAGCACUUCGGGCAUUUUUUUUUUUAACCGCUAUCUUCUGUCUACUUGCUUCUCCUUUCUUUGGGUCCUGAGGAGUUUGCUCUGAUGCAGGGAAGUCCUGUGAACGCCAGGACCCUUGGUCAGGGUACUCCCACCUGCCCUCAGGUCACAGACACACUGAGAAUUCAGCUGAGGCUUGGUAGUGGUCCUAGUCUGAGCUCAAGGCGAGCACUCCGCAGUGUCUAGGGUAGGGUCUUCAUACUGUGAGCUCAGGCAGACCUGAGAUGGGGGAGCAGUUGUGAAUGGGAGGAGUAGCGAAGGACCAAGCGGGAAGGAAGCUGGGAUCCCAACCUGUGCUUCAACCUCAGCAGCUUCACAUUAAGCUACUUUUCAUGGGUAUUAUCUCUAGUCCUCUUAAGAACCUUGCAAAGGGUAUUCUCAGUGUUAAUUGGGGGGAAAAUAAAAGGUCCAGAGAGGGCAGGUGUCUGCUUCAUCCACUAAGUGAAACUUCUGGAUCCAAGGCCGGUUUUCCUGCUGCUCUGGAUGGACGGCAGCCUGUGCCUAGCUGCUGGAAGAGGAGGUGGAGGGUUCUGUGCUCUAGAUCCCAAUUCCAGAUCUGGGCAUUCAGUACAUUGGGGAGUAAGGGAAAAAGGAUCAAGUGAUGAAGUGGGAGCUAUAAAAAGUCCUAGAAAGUUACAAUCGUCCCUUGCAUCUUGGAGCACUGUCCAGUUGGUGGACAGAGCCACCCAAGAAAGCAUCUUAGAGAAAUGAGCCAGAACACUGUGUUUCAGUUUGGGGAACUUGGCCUUAGGGUCAUUCAGGGGUCCAGGGCUGUUGAGGAGAAAUACCCUGCAGGAUGGACUGGGGAAACACUGGGGCAGAGUGGGGCUGGCCUUAUAAGGAGUGGGAAGAGCUGGAGGUCACAAAAGGGAUGCAGUCAUGUCCCUGUUGAAUUCCAAAAACUGACCACACCUGAGCGUCCCAGAAAACAGAAGGCAAGGCCCAGGGCAUCUAGGCAGUGGACCUGCCCAUGUGCAGAGGCCAGCCUCACGCUGGGGCUGUGGGAGAGUCAUCCGACCCCAAAGAAGGCCCUGGCAUGAGCUGGGCCAGACGCAGGACCUCGCCAGCUGGAGAGCCUUCAGGAGGCGUCUGUGACAGUCCAGGCCUGAGGGUAAGGGUGACGCGGAGGACAAUGUGGUGGGGGAGAGCCCUGAUGUCUGCCCUGAGGCACCACAUAGCCAGGGUCUGGGAAGUCAGCCGGGGUGCCCAGGAAUCGUGGCUACUCAUCUGAACCCGGGUCUUGGAGCCAGGCUUAGCCCCCCAGCCAGUGAGUGAGGUGACAGGAGGCCAGGGCAGGAACCUGAGGGUGAGGGGUCGGUCAAGGUGUGGACUCUGCGGGUCUGCUCAGGGCUGACCUGUGCACGGCGGUCACCACGGCUGAGCCACUCCUACUGGGUCUGUGGUCACCUUUCGUCCUGUUAGCCCCAUGUCCCAGGCCAACUCCCUUCUCUGUUGAUAUUCUUCAAAUCACUCGAGGAAGGUGCUUCUUGCCAAAACGUCAAACACCAUUUCCCGAAGUAAAAAAGUACGAGUGCCCUUCACCUUCCUACACAUAUAAUUAAAAAAAAAUCAAUUUGGUGCAUAUCUUUCCAUGUAUGUUUCUAUGUAUUUUAAUAAAAAUAUGAUAAGUCUAG
rnacentral:lncRNA from 1 species